rnacentral:rRNA from 1 species
CAGUCGCCACGGUAAUACGAAGGGUGCAAGCGUUACUCGGAAUUACUGGGCGUAAAGCGUGCGUAGGUGGUGGUUUAAGUCCGUUGUGAAAGCCCUGGGCUCAACCUGGGAAUUGCAGUGGAUACUGGAUCACUAGAGUGUGGUAGAGGAUAGUGGAAUUUCCGGUGUAGCAGUGAAAUGCGUAGAGAUCGGAAGGAACAUCUGUGGCGAAGGCGACUAUCUGGGCCAACACUGACACUGAGGCACGAAAGCGUGGGGAGCAAACAGGAUUAGAUACCCCGGUAGUCCCUGUCUCUUAUAC